CCUACGGGUGGCAGCAGUCGAGAAUCAUUCACAAUGGGGGAAACCCUGAUGGUGCGACGCCGCGUGGGGGAAUGAAGGUCUUCGGAUUGUAAACCCCUGUCAUGUGGGAGCAAAUUAAAAAGCUAGUACCCCAAGAGGAAGAGACGGCUAACUCGGUGCCAGCAGCCGCGGUAAUACAGAGGGCUCAAGCGGUGUUCGGAAUCACUGGGCGGAAAGCGUGCGUAGGCUGUUUCGUAAGUCGUGUGUGAAAGGCGCGGGCUCAACCCGCGGACGGCCCAUGAUACUGCGAGACUAGAGUAAGGGAGGGGGAACCGGAAUGCUCGGUGUAGCAGUGAAAUGCGUAGAUAUCGAGAGGAACACUCGUGGCGAAGGCGGGUUCCUGGACAUUAACUGACGCUGAGGCACGAAGGCCAGGGGAGCGAAAGGGAUUAGAUACCCUUGUAGUC
rnacentral:rRNA from 1 species